rnacentral:rRNA from 1 species
GACGAACGCUGGCGGCGUGCUUAACACAUGCAAGUCGAACGGAAAGGCCCUGCUUUUGUGGGGUGCUCGAGUGGCGAACGGGUGAGUAACACGUGAGUAACCUGCCCUUGACUUUGGGAUAACUUCAGGAAACUGGGGCUAAUACCGGAUAGGAGCUCCUGCUGCAUGGUGGGGGUUGGAAAGUUUCGGCGGUUGGGGAUGGACUCGCGGCUUAUCAGCUUGUUGGUGGGGUAGUGGCUUACCAAGGCUUUGACGGGUAGCCGGCCUGAGAGGGUGACCGGCCACAUUGGGACUGAGAUACGGCACAGACUACUACGGGAGGCAGCAGUGGGGAAUAUUGCACAAUGGGCGGAAGCCUGAUGCAGCAACGCCGCGUGCGGGAUGACGGCCUUCGGGUUGUAAACCGCUUUCGCCUGUGACGAAGCGUGAGUGACGGUAAUGGGUAAAGAAGCACCGGCUAACUACGUG